rnacentral:rRNA from 1 species
GAUGAACGCUGGCGGCGUGCCUAAUACAUGCAAGUCGAGCGAACGGACGAGAAGCUUGCUUCUCUGAUGUUAGCGGCGGACGGGUGAGUAACACGUGGAUAACCUACCUAUAAGACUGGGAUAACUUCGGGAAACCGUAGCUAAUACCGGAUAAUAUUUUGAACCGCAUGGUUCAAAAGUGAAAGACGGUCUUGCUGUCACUUAUAGAUGGAUCUGCGCUGCAUUAGCUAGUUGGUAAGGUAACGGCUUACCAAGGCAACGAUGCAUAGCCGACCUGAGAGGGUGAUCGGCCACACUGGAACUGAGACACGGUCCAGACUCCUACGGGAGGCAGCAGUAAGGAAUCUUCCGCAAUGGGCGAAAGCCUGACGGAGCAACGCCGCGUGAGUGAUGAAGGUCUUCGGAUCGUAAAACUCUGUUAUUAGGGAAGAACAUAUGUGUAAGUAACUGUGCACAUCUUGACGGUACCUAAUCAGAAAGCCACGGCUAACUACGUG